GACGAACGCUGGCGGCGUGCUUAACACAUGCAAGUCGAACGGAAAGGCCCUGCUUUUGUGGGGUGCUCGAGUGGCGAACGGGUGAGUAACACGUGAGUAACCUGCCCUUGACUUUGGGAUAACUUCAGGUAACUGGGGCUAAUACCGGAUAGGAGCUCCUGCUGCAUGGUGGGGGUUGGAAAGUUUCGGCGGGUGGGGUUGGACGCGCGGCUUAUCAGCUUGUUGGGGGGGUGGUGGCUUACCAAGGGUUUGACGGGUGGCCGGCCUGAUAGGGUAACCGGCCACAUGGGGACUGAGGUACGGCCCAGACUCCUACAGGAGGCAGCAGUGGGGAAUAUUGCACAAUGGGCGGAAGCCUGAUGCAGCAACGCCGCGUGCGGGAUGACGGCCUGCGGGUUGUAAACCGCAUUCGCCUGAGACGAAGCGGUAGUGACGGUAAUGGGUAAAGAAGCACCGGCUAACUACGUG
rnacentral:rRNA from 1 species